GCAUUACUACCUUAUCAACUGGUGUUAGGUCAUGUUCAGAAACUCUCUGAGCCACUACAGUUUGGUUAUCCAGGAGAUUCACAGACAUCGACAACAACCAUCUGUAGUUUAGGAUCGACUUCUUCCUCUCCUCCUAGGAAUGGCUCUCUCUGUUUGGUGGAAUAGGAAGGGAGCAAGUAGGAAACUGUGAAAAUAAUUCAGGUCUGAUCCUCCACAUCAAGCACCAGGCAACAAGGUCACGAGGAUCCUACUACAGAACUAUUCAUGUCCCUGAUACGCUAAUGGUAACUAUUAGUUCUCCAUGUAACUGUACCAUCUGCUAGCAUCUCCCUGGACCUUGUGACGAUAGAAAUCUCCACCGUCCCCACCAUGAGGGCAUCAAGCAAUCAACUCAGCUUCCCUGAUGAUUCGGAGUCUCAUACUCAUGAUUCAGGGAGAUGGAAGCAUCGACAAUGCUCUAGCAUGUCCUUUACUGAACUGAUGACGUAUCAACGACAUCAAUAUUCAGAGACUUUAAUAUUGCCAGUUCAGAAAGCAUAUCCUUGAGCAAACUGGAGAAAAGAACCUGAGCUUGAGAGGGAAACACCACCAUCUCGAAAGCUGCCGAAGACCACAGGUUUUGGGAACCACAAGUCAAACAAGCGGAGGAAGCUCCAUUAUAACCUUCUCAGACAAGGGAAAUCGAAAUGGGCUGCAAGUUAGGCUAGACCUAGCUCCUAUACUUCAUUAUGUACUAUGUAUCUGAUCUGAUCUGUUCGUUGUUCCCUAGAUUAUUUUUGUAGUACCAUGUAGCCAAGUUGAACCUGUAGUGCUAUAUCUGUUGUUUAACUUAGUGAGAGGCCUAUUUCUGCA